GGCAGUGGUAGCCCAUUGGUUAAGGCGUUGGAUCAGUAUAUCAGAAGGCCGUGAGUUCAAAAUCCCAGCACUGCCA